rnacentral:tRNA from 1 species
AAAUAAGAAACAAUUUAUUGUAUUUAGUUUCGACCUAAAAUUAAGAUGUACAAACAUCCUUAUUUA